AUUUCUUCCCAUGUCUUCUUAUCUUUCCCGCCCACUGCCACUCUCCUUCCCCUUCUUUCGCCCGCGGGUCGGGGCCUUGCUCAUCGCCGUCGCCGUCCGUGCGCUUCCACCGUCUCCACGGCCGCCCCCCUCCCCCCUCUUUCGCCCGCGGGUUGGGGCCUUGCUCAUUACCGUCGCUGUCGCCGUCCGUCCGCUGCAACCAUCUCCGCGGCCGCCUCCAUGGAGGAGAAUAGUGACGCGGAAAACAACAUCAGCGUUGGUGUAUCUUGCAAGAAGAACCAAAUCGAGGUCCAAUACCAAGAAGUUCCUCUUCUUCUACGUUAGUCUUGCCAAUGCAAUGCAUGAUAUGCUUUAGCACCAGAUAAAUGGGUCCUCCCUCUUUCUCUUGGAGCCAAUACCAUGACAAUGGAGGUGAGACUGAACCUCUAACAAGGAGCAUAAGAGGAGGGAGAACUCCCGCCAAAACAUCUGCAGCUACAUCUAUGAGGACUUUGUCUGUGGCUAAGAUCAUGUGACUGUGGCUGGACCUCCGCCUCCUUGCCAAUCUCCUCAUUUCUCGCCUCAAUCUAUAUUGCCCACUCUCUGAUGGCUCGUGCGAAGGCCUCCAGAAAUUGAAAAAAGAGCUGGAGGUUUGAGGAAGCAAAAGAGAGCUCUCCUCCGAUUGAUCAAUUAUCAUUGCUAUCUGAGAAAAUAAAUCGAGUUCAUCAGAGGCAUCUAAGAGUGGUUGACAGAUGCCUAUAGGAUGUUAAUACAUCGGAUGCUUUUUCAUUAUAUGCUCAACAUCUCAAUGAUUAUACAGGAGUGGACAGUCGUAGAUUAACUUCUCUAAAGAAGGUUUCCCAAAGUGUGGUUAGUAUCAUAUAUUUUUUGGAGUCGAUAGUUGAGAGGGAUAUAUUGGAAAAUAGGAUCAAGAUAUUGUUGUCUGAUUUAUCUUCCAGUGCCAUCUGAUCCAUGGUAUAAUUGUUUAUUGCGUACUUUCUAAAUAUGAUUUUUUUUUCUUUAUCGAAUCUUAGUAUUACAUCAUGGAUCUUCUCUUCUAUCGACUCCAUAGAGGAGAUUGGUUGGUACGAUUGCUGAAAAGCUAAAAAGAAGGGAGAGAUGUGUGAAAGAGAGCACUAGUUACAUUAACGAUUGCAUUACAAUUUUGAUGGUAAGAAAGAUAUUAAAUUAUUUAUUUAUCUAUUUAUUUCAUAAGAACUAUUAUUUUAAAUUUGUAUACGUAAUUAUUGAUUAUGUUGUUUAAUAAUUAUUUAUUUUUUUUAGAUUUGACUUUUUGAGAGAAUAGGUAUAGUCAAAUCAAGUACUUAUGGUUGGCUUCUUCGAAUUUUGAACUAAAAGAAAUCCUAGUUUAGAAAAUAAGCCCACUGUUAAGAGAUUUUGAAGGGCCUGAGAAAGGGAGAUGUAUUAUUAUUUUUGAUAUUUGGUAUUCUUUAUUUUUUUGUAAGAUUUGGGGAUUAAUAGUUUUGUCUUUAUUUUCAUAUUAGAGAUCCAUUACGAUGAUGUGUUGCUCCUUAAGAUGGAACCUUUUAGCUAGCAGAUGAAGAGAGAUGAAAGUGGAACGAGUAGUACGGCAAGAAAGAGUAGAUCUAAUAAUGCACGUAGCACUAUCACAAUAUUGAUCUUUCACUUUAUUUAAUUUUUAAAAUUUAUCUCUAAUUCAUCUAUUUAUUGUCUAUUUAUCCUCAAUUAUAGCUUAUGCAUAAAUAUUUGCGGCAAGAAGAGGGCUUGAGAGGAUGUCGAGAAGAUGAAGCUUUGAAGGAUUGUUGCUAAUCAGUAGAUGUUUAUUAUUGAGCUGCAGGCAGCAUUGAAGAGCAAGAAGAGAGGAAGGAUAUGGAGGGGAGCACUCAUGAGAUGGAGGCAGAUGUGUUGUCUAUUAAUUUUGUGAGUGCCUAUAGUUCAAUAGUACUCUAGGAGCAUAUGGAUCAACAG